ACACGGCCGACGCGGGUCAAAGUGUAGUAUCUGUUCUUAUCAGCUUAAUAUCUGAUAGGGGUUGUAUUUGGACCCAAGAUAUUAAAUUUAUUUUCGCAAGAUGGCGGAGUGCUUGAAGCCUGCUUCACCUCCGCCGCGGUUCGGAUACGUAUUGCACUAUCUUCGGGAGUUUUGGUCUAUGGACA